rnacentral:rRNA from 1 species
UACGUAGGGGGCGAGCGUUAUCCGGAUUCAUUGGGCGUAAAGCGCGCGUAGGCGGCCGCCUAAGCGGAACCUCUAACCCCGGGGCUCAACCUCGGGCCGGGUUCCGGACUGGGCGGCUCGAGUGCGGUAGAGGAGAGCGGAAUUCCCGGUGUAGCGGUGGAAUGCGCAGAUAUCGGGAAGAACACCGAUGGCGAAGGCAGCUCUCUGGGCCGUUACUGACGCUGAGGCGCGAAAGCUGGGGGAGCGAACAGG